AAGUCGUAACAAGGUUUCCGUAGGUAAGUUAUCACGAAAUCCAUUCUGAUCUUCUGGAACCAUCACUAACAUCAAAUCUCAGGUGAACCUGCGGAAGGAUCAUUACAAUAAUGGACUUUUGUCCAGUACACUCUCGUGUACCCUCUGUGAACCAUCUGGUUUCUUUGGCGAUGUCUCACGACUCGCCAAACUAAAACUCUGAUAAUCUGAUAAAGUCUGAGUUUUAUGAAAUACAUAAAAACUUUCAACAACGGAUCUCUUGGCUCUC
rnacentral:misc_RNA from 1 species